UACGUAGGGAGCAAGCGUUGUCCGGAAUCAUUGGGCGUAAAGCGCGCGUAGGUGGCUUCGUAAGUCCGUUGUGAAAGUCAAAGGCUCAACCUUUGAAAGCCGAUGGAUACUGCGGAGCUAGAGUACGGAAGAGGCGAGUGGAAUUCCUGGUGUAGCGGUGGAAUGCGCAGAUAUCAGGAGGAACACCGAUGGCGAAGGCAGCUCGCUGGGACGGUACUGGACGCUGAGGCGCGAAAGCGUGGGGAGCAAACAGG
rnacentral:rRNA from 1 species